rnacentral:misc_RNA from 1 species
GAAAUGCGAUAAGUAAUGUGAAUUGCAGAAUUCAGUGAAUCAUCGAAUAUUUGAACGCACAUUGCGCCUAUUAGUAUUCUAAUGGGCAUGCCUGUUCGAGCGUCAUUUCAACCCUCAAGCCCUAGUUGCUUGUUGUUGGGAGCUUAUUCUGCCGGAAGGCGGGACAACUCCUUAAAGUUAUUUGGCCGAGUCGCGGUCACCCCAAGCGCAGUAUUUCUUUUUUCUCGCUUUAGGUGUUAUCGCCGUCUUCUAGCCACUAAACCCCCCCAAUUUUCUAAUGGUUGACCUCGGAUCAGGUAGGACUACCCGCUGAACUUAA